rnacentral:rRNA from 1 species
AUUGAACGCUGGCGGCAGGCCUAACACAUGCAAGUCGAGCGAGCGGCGGACGGGUGAGUAAUGUAUGGGGACUGCCCGUGAGAGGGGGAUUACUACUGGAGACGGUAGUUAAUACCGCAUACUAUGGGAUAACCCAGAUGGGAUUAGCUAGUAGGUGAGGUAAGGGCUCACCUAGGCGACGAUGCCUAGCUGGUCUGAGAGGAUGAUCAGCCACACUGAGACUGAGACAGGGCCAAGACUCCUACGGAAGCAGCAGUGGGGAAUAUUGCAAAAUGGGAGAAAGCCUGAUGCAGCCGUGCCGCGUGUAUGAAGGAGGUCCUAGGUUUGUAAAGUAAUUUCAGUCGGGAGGGGUUACCGACAGAAGAAGCACCGGCUAAAUCCGUCCCAGCCGCCGCGGAUAC